rnacentral:rRNA from 1 species
GAUGAACGCUGGCGGCGUGCAUAACACAUUCAAGUCGAACGGGGCAGCAAUGCCUAGUGGCGGACGGGUGAGUAACGCGUGAGCAACCUGCCUGUGUGAGGGGGACAACAGCCGGAAACAGCUGCUAAUACCGCAUGAAGUAUUCGAAUCGCAUGGUUUGGAUACCAAAGAUUUAUCGCGCACAGAUGGGCUCGCGUCCGAUUAGCUAGAUGGUGAGGUAACGGCUCACCAUGGCGACGAUCGGUAGCCGGACUGAGAGGUUGAACGGCCACAUUGGAACUGAGAUACGGCCCAGACUCCUACGGGAGGCAGCAGUGGGGAAUAUUGGGCAAUGGGCGAAAGCCUGACCCAGCGACGCCGCGUGAAGGAAGACGGUCUUCGGAUUGUAAACUUCAAACAACAGGGAAGAAACAAAUGACUGUACCUGUUAGGAAGCCACGGCUAACUACGUGCCAGCCGCCGCAGUAAUAC